CGGCAUGCCUAAGACAUGCAAGUCGAACGAAGUAGCCUAAUGAAGACCGAGUGCUUGCACAAAGUCAGAUUUAGAUUCUACUUAGUGGCAGACGGGUGAGUAACACGUGGGUAACCUACCUCAGAGACUGGGAUAACAAUUAGAAAUGAUUGCUAAUACCGGGUGAUUCAUAGUUAGAUAACUAAUUAUGCUAAAAGAAGCGUUUGCUUCACUUUGAGAUGGGCUUGCGUUGUAUUAGUUAGUUGGUGGGGUAAUGGCCUACCAAGACAACGAUGCAUAUCCGAGCUGAGAGGCUGAUCGGACACACUGGGACUGAGACACGGCCCAGACUCCUACGGGAGACAGCAGUUAGGAAUAUUCGUCAAUGGGGGAAACCCUGAACGAGCAAUGCCGCGUGAGUGAUGAAGGUCUUAUAGAUUGUAAAACUCUGUUGUAGAGAAAGAAACCUUAAGAUAGGAAAUGAUCUUAAGCUGACGGUACUCUACCAGAAAGCCCCGGCUAACUACGUGCCAGCCGCCGC
rnacentral:rRNA from 1 species